AUUGGUGUUUGGUUCGGCUUGUGUAGGAUAGGUGGGAGACUGUGAAGCCGCAUCGCUAGGUGUGGUGGAGUUGUUGGUGAAAUACCACUCUGGUCGUUCCGCGCCUCUUGAACCUUGGCCCAUGAUCUGGGUUGGGGACAGUGCCUGGUGGGUAGUUUAACUGGGGCGGUUGCCUCCUAAAUGGUAACGGAGGCGCCCAAAGGUUCCCUCAGCCUGGUUGGCAAUCAGGUGUUGAGUGUAAGUGCACAAGGGAGCUUGACUGUGAGACAGACAUGUCGAGCAGGGACGAAAGUCGGGACUAGUGAUCCGGCGGUACAUUGUGGAAUGGCCGUCGCUCAACGG
rnacentral:rRNA from 1 species